UGGCUGGCGCAGCUACCAUGCAGUCGAGCGGUAACAGGGGUAGCUUGCUACCCGCUGACGAGCGGCGGACGGGUGAGUAAUGCAUAGGAAUCUGCCCGAUAGUGGGGGAUAACCUGGGGAAACCCAGGCUAAUACCGCAUACGUCCUACGGGAGAAAGGGGGCUCCGGCUCCCGCUAUUGGAUGAGCCUAUGUCGGAUUAGCUAGUUGGUAAGGUAAUGGCUUACCAAGGCAACGAUCCGUAGCUGGUCUGAGAGGAUGAUCAGCCACAUCGGGACUGAGACACGGCCCGAACUCCUACGGGAGGCAGCAGUGGGGAAUAUUGGACAAUGGGGGCAACCCUGAUCCAGCCAUGCCGCGUGUGUGAAGAAGGCCCUCGGGUUGUAAAGCACUUUCAGCGAGGAAGAACGCCUAUCGGUUAAUACCCGGUAGGAAAGACAUCACUCGCAGAAGAAGCACCGGCUAACUCCGUGCCAGCAGCCGCGGUAAUACGGAGGGUGCAAGCGUUAAUCGGAAUUACUGGGCGUAAAGCGCGCGUAGGUGGCUUGAUAAGCCGGUUGUGAAAGCCCCGGGCUCAACCUGGGAACGGCAUCCGGAACUGUCAGGCUAGAGUGCAGGAGAGGAAGGUAGAAUUCCCGGUGUAGCGGUGAAAUGCGUAGAGAUCGGGAGGAAUACCAGUGGCGAAGGCGGCCUUCUGGACUGACACUGACACUGAGGUGCGAAAGCGUGGGUAGCAAACAGGAUUAGAUACCUU
rnacentral:rRNA from 1 species